GAUGAACGCUGGCGGCGUGCCUAAUACAUGCAAGUCGAGCGAACAGAUGAGGAGCUUGCUCCUCUGACGUUAGCGGCGGACGGGUGAGUAACACGUGGAUAACCUACCUAUAAGACUGGGAUAACUUCGGGAAACCGGAGCUAAUACCGGAUAAUAUAUUGAACCGCAUGGUUCAAUAGUGAAAGACGGUUUUGCUGUCACUUAUAGAUGGAUCCGCGCCGCAUUAGCUAGUUGGUAAGGUAACGGCUUACCAAGGCAACGAUGCGUAGCCGACCUGAGAGGUUGAUCGGCCACACUGGAACUGAGACACGGUCCAGACUCCUACGGGAGGCAGCAGUAGGGAAUCUUCCGCAAUGGGCGAAAGCCUGACGGAGCAACGCCGCGUGAGUGAUGAAGGUCUUCGGAUCGUAAAACUCUGUUAUUAGGGAAGAACAAAUGUGUAAGUAACUAUGCACGUCUUGACGGUACCUAAUCAGAAAGCCACGGCUAACUACGUG
rnacentral:rRNA from 1 species